rnacentral:rRNA from 1 species
GACGAACCGUCCAAACGUUAUUCGGAAUCACUGGGCUUAAAGGGUGCGUAGGCGGCCCGGGAAGUUGGGUGUGAAAGCCCUCGGCUCAACCGAGGAAUUGCGCCCAAAACUGCCGGGCUUGAGGGAGACAGAGGUGAGCGGAACUAAGGGUGGAGCGGUGAAAUGCGUUGAUAUCCUUAGGAACACCAGGAGCGAAAGCGGCUCACUGGGUCUCUUCUGACGCUGAGGCACGAAAGCUAGGGGAGCGAACGGGAUUAGAUACCCCGGUAGUCCUAGCCGUAAACGAUGAGCACUGGGUUGGAGGGCCCCCCAUAGCCUUCUAGCCGUAGCGAAAGUGUUAAGUGCUCCGCCUGGGGAGUAUGGUCGCAAGGCUGAA